rnacentral:rRNA from 1 species
UACGUAGGGGGCGAGCGUUGUCCGAAUUUACUGGGCGUAAAGCGCGCGUAGGCGGACCUUUAAGUGGAGGGUGAAAUCUUGGGGCUCAACCCCAAAACUGCCUUCCAAACUGGAGGACUUGAGGCUUGGAGAGGGAAGUGGAAUUCCUGGUGUAGCGGUGAAAUGCGUAGAUAUCAGGAGGAACACCCGUGGCGAAGGCGGCUUCCUGGCCAUGUCCUGACGCUGAGGUGCGAAAGCUAGGGGAG